rnacentral:lncRNA from 12 species
GGAAAACUGUUUCUGAGCAGAGAAGUGGAAACAGAUACUUGUAAAUUAUUUUCUCUGAUGGAUACAGAGAGGAUACAAGAAAUUGUGAAGUAGCUGUGCACACAGGCUCAGGCUUCUCAGUGUAUUUCCUAAAAGACUGAUGAACAAGAUAAUUUGACUGACACCAACCCAGUUUUUCCUGACAUCCCAUGCACACGCAGGAUCUGACAGCUGCCUUCCAAAC